ensembl:lncRNA
CCUGCUUUCAACUUCCAUCAUUGCCUCUUUGGUGUUAUUAGUGUCACAACACUCAAGAACAGAAGGUACACUGUAAAACAAUGGAAGUGAGAUGAAUUAAAGUGGUCCAACACUACUAUUUAGGUGCAUGUGGUGUCCGAAAAGGAAGGUACACCGUUCUUUGGAGGAUUCCCUGAAACAAAGCACUGGAACACUUGAAGUGUGCAAACAAAGAGUUUAUUAGGAACAGUGGCUCAUGUCACAAACUCACUUCACACCACGGAACCUCAUCUGCGUUCGCGCGAAAAAGCCCCCGUUAUAUAUAGUGCCCCCAAUAACGGUUCCCGCUUCUUUUAGGAACUAACCAAUAACAAUUAUCCUUUGUCAACUUAAACCCUACAGGCCGGCAGGAACCUUUCUUUUACAAAACUCUUGAGGAUUCGUUCUUGGUGUAAAAUACCACAGUGCAAUUUACUGAUAUCUGCCAGCUGGCUACAAAAACAAUUUGCAAUGACCGUGCAGCAAAACAAACAAAAAAAAUGUUGUCUUAAAUAAGCUGAGAAACGCCAAUAUUUUUGAAAACUUGCCACUGGGCCGUUGGUCAAUGCAGGAGACUGCAAUGCAGAGGUGGAACCGCUCAUCCUCACCACAAGGUGGCACUGUUGCUACUGUCGGAAUACGAAAAACGCCUUCGUUGACAAGCAGAAAGUGAAAGAAAAGUCAGACGUUACACAACGUACGCUUCGAGGAUAUUUUAUUCUCACCGUUUCAAAAGGACAUUUUCUGUUUCUCCCAUUAUAUUCUGUGGAUAACUGAAGUUGAGAGGAGUGAAAGUCUCUACAGGUAUAGGAGCUGACGCAUCCACUGAAGAGAAUAUGCGCGGAUACUCUCAUUUUUUGAUUCUACUGAGUCACGUAUCAGAAGUCUUGGCCGUAGUCGACAUGAAGUGCAGUGCCGAGAGUCGCGACAGAAGCGCUGUGCUGACAUGUGUAGCAGCUGGAAACUGUGAAGAGCAAGUCACCAUUGCUCACCUCAUGUGGAAAAGGGAUUCAGUGCCACUUGUUACACUGUCAGAAAACGGAAUUGAGAGCAAGGAACCAGAGCGCUUUGAAUUAAAGGAGGAGCCAUGGCAUGCCGAUUCCUGGGCCACUUCUCUGCAGAUAAACAACGUUAAAAGUCAGGACAAGGGAAGGUACAGCUGUAGUGUAAUCACUGAUUGUGGUGUAUGGAAAGGAUCAGUUUAUUUGGACAUUCCAGAAACCGUGGAACUCCCGAAUCCAACACCACCACCACCACCGUCAGCAGAUAAUGGAGUAAUUGGAAAACGGGAACAGGACCCGAUACCCCCUGCUGAAAACACAGGACACCAUAAAGCAGCACUGGCAGGAACCGUUGCAACCCUUGUUGUGCUGAUCGCUGUGUUUGUUGCUGUGCGAAAACGGCAUCUCAUUGAGCAGCAGACGAGCAGGUUGCGGUUCAUUUUCCAUAAAAGAGCCGCACAAGCAGAAGAGGAACAGGAGCAGUACACCAAGAACAUCACGGAAGAGCAUGAUCCAGUGUAGAGAAGAUGGCACAGACACAAAUUUGGGGGUCUCUCCCCACUGCUCUUCCCCCUGUACACCAACAACUGCACCGCUAAAGACCCCUCUCUCAAACUCCUGAAGUUCGCAGACGACACCACACUCAUUGGCCUCAUCCGGGAUGGUGAAGUUCAACCUGCCACAGGAGCUACUGAUGCAAUUCUACUCUGCAGUCAUUGAGUCGGUCCUCUGCACCUCUAUAACUGUCUGGUUCGGCCCAGCUACGAAAUUAGAUAUCAGAAGAUUACAGCAGAUAGUUCGGACUGCUGGAAGAAUCAUCGGCACAUCCCCCCCAGCUCUCCAAGAAUUGCACUCGUCCAGAGUCAGUAAAAGGGCUAGCAAAAUCAUUCUAGACCCCUCACAUCCAGGCCACUUCCUCUUCGAACCUUUGCCAUCUGGCCUGCGCUACAGAGCACUGAGCACCAGGACAGCCAGGCAUAAGAAAAGUUUCUUUCCUCAGGCCAUCUACUUCAUGAAGAGCUAAAUCCCCCCCCCCCCCCCCAGAGAGUAAACCAGUACAAUACACAACACUGUUUAUAUUUAGAAUUAUAUCUAUUUAUCACGUCAUAUGUCUUACUCACACUUCCUUGCAUUUGUAACUAGUGACUACUUUUGUAUAUAAUAUUGGAUACUGUAUAUUUUAUAUAUUUUUUUAUCCUUUAUUCACAUAUUCUAUCUUCUCAUCUGUGUCUUGUCACUGUCAUUCUGUCUGUGCUGUGGAAGUUUCUGUCACCAAGACAAAUUCGUUGUAUGUGUGAACAUACUUGGCAAUAAAGCUCGUUCUGAUUCUCA